AGGCUCUAGAAUUCUAGAACAUCUAAAACACAUAUUUCCUACUUCCUUUAUAGAAGAAUAUCGGGGUAAAAAGUUGGACAAUUAAAAGACGCUGCGCUCCAAUGCCUUCUCUGUAAAUUCAAUCUGCAUUUCCAGAAACCCUAGAACAGGCAAACACAAACACAGACUCCAUUUAGCUGGUAAAAGGAGAUCAAAGGCAGGAGCUUUUGAGAUCAAACGGCUCUGAAUUGUUCACGAAGGGUUUGAGCAUUCAGAUUGAUUGUUACGUCCACCAUGAGAUUCAAGAAAGGGAGUAAGGUGGAGGUAUUGAACAAGACAGAGGUGCCUUCAGGUUCAUGGCGUUGUGGUGAGAUCAUAUCUGGUAAUGGCCACAAUUACAGUGUGAGGUAUGAUUGUUCUUCAGGAUUGACAAGUGAGGCUGUUGUGGAGAGGGUGUCUAGGAAGACCAUUAGGCCUUCUCCUCCUCUUGUGGAUGGUGUAAAGAGUUGGAUGGUUGGUGAUGUUGUGGAGGUGUUCAAUGAUUUUUGUUGGAAAAUUGCCAGGGUUUUGACCCUUAUCGGUGGAGGUUGCUAUUUUGUGAGGCUGCUUGGGUCUCGUCAGGAAUUGUCAAUACACAAAUCUAACAUCAGGCUGCGGCAAUCAUGGCAAGAUGAUAAGUGGGUUGUCAUUGGAAAGGGUCCUAGUACCUCUAGAGAUGUGAGAUUUAACAUGCCACCAACUGUGAAUUGUUACCAGAAGAGCUUCCUGGAACUGCCAGCUGACACAAAAAGGAAAGAGGCUCCUGCAGGUGAAUGUUUAGCACUUUGGCAUAAUGCUGGCCUUGCUUCAAAAUUUCUGGAAGGAGCAUCCUCGUAUCGCAGUACUCAUUUUGAAGCAUAUGGUGGAAACAGUAGGAAAAGGAGAGUGAUUGAGACAGAGGCUAGGCGUCAACGAGUGUUUCCUGCCUCACCACUGGGAAAGGUAGAUGCUGUAGCUCACCCAGGAAAAAAUCUGGGUGAAAAAUACGUGCAUGCUUCCUUUAACAAGCAAACAAUUGGGUACUAUGAAUUUGAAAGGCGAAAAGAAAAUGGUGUUGUUGAGUGUUCUCUUGCAGGAAAGUUAGAAGCUAAUGAUUCUAAUAGUGAUGCUUGCUCUGUUGGUAAUAGUAGUGUUGCCAGUAACAGUCCAAACAAGUCGUCCAGUUGUUUUUUAGUGGGUACUAGUCGGGAUACAGAUGCACUUUGUAGUGAUGCGGAGUCUUCUUCCUCUAAAGUAAUUAAGGAGGAAAAAUGUCCCUUUCGUUCUAAAGAGGAAUUAGCAGCAGGAGUCCAUAUGUUAGGGUUGCAUUCUUACCGCAACACUCUAGAGGCAUUGUAUGCUUCUGGUCCCUUGAGUUGGGAACAAGAAGCAGUGUUGACAAAUCUUCGUCUUUCACUGAACAUUUCAAAUGAUGAACAUUCAAGGGAGCUUAGAAACUUAAUUUCUUUUGGGACAAGCCCUCAUAUUAGUUAUAUGUAAAUCAAGGAGUUUUUUGUUUUUUGUUUUUUGUUUUAAAAUAGUACAUCAUUCAGUUUGCUUUACUUGGCUCUUCCAAUGCCCUUGCAACACUGUAAGAAGCCAUCCAAUCUGUUACAUACCAUAGCUUUUCUCUUUAGUUUUUUCUUCCCCCCACCUCUCUUUGUAGUGAUCUAGACAGUGAAUUGCUGUAACUUGAAAUUUAUUAUGUAUUGAAAUUCUUCCAUAGAAAUGAAUACAUAAUGACUCCUUUUGGUUUUACUUUUGUAUUUCUGUUGGGUUUGUAGUGCUUAACUAUUUUGAUUGGAUAUUUUGAGUAACUUUUAAUUACUACAAGGGGUAAUUCUGAAAAAAUGUGAAAAUAUAAUUAGCAGCUACAAAUUCUGUGCUGUUUGGAUUCCCAAACAUAUAUCUUUUGUGGCUCUGUAUGGGUUUUAUGGAACUUUUUUGGCAGUUGUUCUAAGAGACUAACACGACCAUAUCUCAAGGUGAUUAAGGAAGUGUUUUUUAAUUUUAUUUGCAGAGUAAAAAAUCAAACUUCCAUCAUUCUCUCUUUUAUUUUUUUUUUCUUUUAAUGAGUGCCAGAAAAUUUUCUGUUUAUAAAAAUUACAAAACUGCAACCUUUCGUACCUCUGUAAUUGGUUAUAGGGUUUUCUAACUGGAAUCCAAAGCUGGAUGUUAAAAUGUCAUUGUAUCUUCUGGCCAGUGGAAAUCAUGCUAGUUACUUUCUUCACACAUUUCCCAUUUCUUUUUGGAUUUCAUUACAUUAUGGAUUUAUAUAAUACUCUGAAGAAGAGGUUAUAUUAUGCUCUUCUGUUUUGUCAUUAGCAUCUUUAUAAACCAAAUUCAGAAUAGCUUCAGUUCCUCCAUAGUCCAUAUUAUUUGGGAGCAUGGGAAAUCUCAUUUGAGGCUGUUAUUAAUGAAUCCCCUGCAUUUUCCAGGGCCAAAGUUGGAGGCAUGAAUGCAUUGCUUCCAAGGGUCUAAAGAUGAUACCACUUUCUCUUGGUGUAGGCACUGGGGCAAUAUCUGCGAUCAAUUUCCUACAAUUAAUGCAAUUCAUGGCUUCCCACUGGAAUCAUUAUUUGCUCUGGUUCAAUGAUAUCUUUCACUUCUGGUCAGCUGUGAACUCUCAACACAUCUUGUGCUGAAAGAAGUGAACCAGUACUCUUAAAGAGCUGCCAUGAAUAUCCUGAUAUGGAAGAAUGAAUCCAAUGGCGGACACAAUCGAUAUUUGAUUGGAGAAUUUGAGUCUUAAAGACAAUAAACACUGGCAAAAAAACAAAUGAUCAACUACCAAUUUCAAUAUACAAAGAGAUUUAUGAGUUGUUUAUGGCACUAGAAUUGCACAGAACUCAAGAUUCAAUGAUGAAAAGAGUGAUGCUUGAGAGUGAAUUACAAGCUGCUUACGGCUCUUGAAUUGCCCGAAAAACUAUGGCGACAUGCGAGAACAAAGGUAGCAAGCUUGACUUCUUCCAGAGAAGAAGCAGAGGAAAGUUGUGAGCUUGCAUUUCUCAUUUGCAGAAUGGCGUCUCAACCGUCGGAAGCAUGGACCACUGUUGGAUUCCAUGGUAUAGAGAGAAAGCAAUGUAGGGAGGCGGGGGUGGGGGUGGGGGUGGGAGAAGCAGAUGGGAUGUGUGAGGGAAUAUACCAGCCUAGUUUUAUUGCUUUCUCUCACUUUUUUUAAAUCAUAAUGUUUUCUUUGUGCUCAUUUCUUUAUGUUCAAAUGAACUAAAAAUAAAAAAUUAAUGUGUUUUUAAGGGUUAUUUUGGUCUCUUGAAUAAUUUGAUGAUUCAAUGGGUAUCCCAAUCCAAACAUGGGUGGGCUGUUAAUUAUAGCCAGCCCAGGCUAGUCUACUUCUGUGCAGACCAGUCCAGUCCUGGAAGCCUUAGCAACCAAACCGAACACAUCCUAAGCUUUAUUAGGAGUACUUGCUGGUUUAAGUUGUGCCGGAUCCACAUUUUAUAGUGCUCUUCAAAUUGAAAUUAGGAGUUAAUAAAUAGAUGCCUUGAAUACUUGAUGGGGUAAUCCAGAAGCUUGGGUGCCAUAAAUGUAGUCUUAUGAGAGGCGUUUAUGCUGGUAUGAAGUUAUCACCUAUCAAUGGGAAAAUCAAAGAUCAGGAUUGUUUGCUGGAGGAUCUUCUUUUCUCUCUUUUUUUUUUUUUGGAGGGUGGAGGUGGGUUUGGGGGGGGGGUGGUGGGGAGGGUUUCUUGCUUGUUCUGUUGGCCGCUAUCCUCUUGAUUGUCACUGCACACUCAAUUUCACUCUGUAUUUUUUUUUUUUGGUGUUAAAAUGUUUGGUUUAUCACUUCUAUAUAUUUUUUUAAUGUGUGAAAAAGUUUGGUUGCAGCAUCCUGAAAGAAAAACCUUGUCACUUGGUACUUCUGACGAAACAAUAAUUGCUUCUGCCCUCAGAUAAUUUCCUUGGAUGCAAGGUUUUAUUUCUUCCUUCUAUUUGACAUGUGCUACCUUUGUUAGAUUAUAUUAUAUGAUCAUGACAUUGUUUUUAUCUUCAUGUUUACAAUAUAAACAAUAGCAGAUUAUGAAGCAGUGCCGCUUAUGGAUUUUUCAGGGUUUUAUCCACGUGGGUAUCAACUAAGUUUGAUGUUCACAGCCCAGUAGUGGUAAUUUUUAUUUUUAUUUUAUUUUUAUUAUUGCUUUUUUGUGGUCUUAUGGCAUUCCAAUAUCUUAGAACUUCCUUGAUUCUGGUGACUGGGGACUGGAUUUAGGUCCUUGGAUUUAUCUAACCAGCAGGCAUACCAUCUUCAAAAGGUUUCUUUGUGUUGAUUUUGGGAAACAUUGUUUGGUGAGGCUAAGAGCAUGGAAAUAAAGGCAUCCGUAAUGCAGGGAGAGUAUUUUUCUUUUGAUUCAUAUGGUUGGUCAGAGAGGGAGAAAAAGAGAGGAAGAAUGUAACUUGAGUUAGACCAAGGCUUCAUUUAAGUCAUAACAAACAUUACUUUGUGAAGAUAAGAUUGAUUAACUUUUGUCAAGUUAUUUUGUGGUUUGAUUCUUAUGGUUUAUCCCAAAAAAGAGAGAAAGUGGGCUAUAGGCUUCAAUCAAGGCAUAAUAGAUGCUAGUGAAAUUAAGUUUGAGAAACACCUAGUAAGCAUUUUUUUUUUUUAAUAAACAGUAACAAAUGCCACUCAGUUUAUCACAAGCUGCACAAUGUCGUUUUUAUAAGUUACCAUCCCGAAUGGCAUCUUAGAUGAUUAUGAUUGUUUUGAAGCUGGUUUGAAAUAGCAUGUCUGCUUGUAGCUAGAAAAGGAGCUGCACUUGUUGCAAAUUUUUUGGGAAAAUAUUUAUUGACAAACUUCUCUUGCUUUUUUGUAUUUUUUGAGGUGACACAUGCCACAUCAUAUAUACUGUCUCAUUUAUUUUUUAGAACGCAUGAUAGAAUGUUACAUCAAAUGAGUAGAAAAUGAGUGCAUAAAUAUAUGUUGCAUUAUUCUUUCUAUUUAGCCGACCCCAUCUAGUGGGAACUAAGGCUUUGUUUUGUUUUUAUUAUUCUUUCCUUUUAUUUUUCUCAGGAUGAUGAGCAUAAUCCAGAGAGAUUGUGCCUUUUAUAUGAGGAUGGUUCAAGUUCUUCAUCCAUCAUCAUGCAAAGAGCAGAUUCCACAUGGAAAUAAGGUUAACAGACUUUCAUGGCUUUCCAAAUGGGGAAUCAUUUCAAAGGUUGAAGAGGGUUAACCAGUUCCAUUGAAGACUGGUCGGUGGUGUAUUAAAGUAUGAGAUUGCUUGCAUUGGAAAGGUAUUAUGUUCAAUGGAGGGAGGUUGAGUCUCUAUGAAUGUUUCUAUUUUUGAAAGUAUUGCACGGGACAAGAAAUGGAAUAGAAGAAAAAAUUGAAUGGAGGACAAAUAGAGAUACACUAACAAAUUCGAUUUCAUCCCAUUCCUGUGUUUGCAUAAAGCUGCAAUGAAGAAAUUCGCUGUAGGAACUUGAUUUGCAAUAUCUAUUGCUUAGCUGAGGAAUUGGCAAAUUUUAGGCUCACCUUUGUACCAGCUCUUGUAUACUGCAUCCAUUUAAUAAAAUGAGCUAAAUGUGUUAUUUUUCAUUUAUGCUCAACUAAGAAUAGA